rnacentral:rRNA from 1 species
CCUACGGGAGGCAGCAGUGAGGAAUCUUCCACAAUGGACGAAAGUCUGAUGGAGCGACACCGCGUGAAGGAUGAAGCCUUUGUUGGUGUAAACUUCUUUUCUCUGGGAAGAUAAUGACGGUACCAGAGGAAUAAGGGGCGGCAAACUUCGUGCCAGCAGCCGCGGUAAUACGAAGGCCCCAAGCGUUAUCCGGAAUUACUGGGCGUAAAGCGUCUGUAGGUGGUUUUUUAAGUCUUUCCGCGAAACUUCAGGGCUCAACCCUGAAUUGCGGGAGAAACUGGAGAACUUGAGUGUGGGAGGGGGAAGCAGAACGGUAAGAGUAGGGGUGCAAUCCGUUGAUACUUACCAGAAUACCAAAAGCGAAGGCAGCUUCCUGGAACACUACUGACACUGAGAGACGAAAGCGUGGGGAGCAAAAGGGAUUAGAUACCCCUGUAGUCCACGCCCUAAACGAUGGACACUAAGUGUCGGGCUUAUGCCCGGUGCUUCAAGCUAACGCAUUAAGUGUCCCGCCUGAGGAGUACGGUCGCAAGAUUAAAACUCAAAGGAAUUGACGGCNGAGACGNGCGACGACGACACGAGGAGAG